rnacentral:misc_RNA from 1 species
GAUGAAGAACGUAGCGAAAUGCGAUAAGUAGUGUGAAUUGCAGAAUUCAGUGAAUCAUCGAAUCUUUGAACGCACAUUGCGCCUUCUAGUAUUCUGGGAGGCAUGCCUGUUUGAGCGUCAUUAAACCUCUCUCAAGUAUGAUUACUUGGAUGUGAAGGAAGAGUACCUUAAACUUAAGGAGUGUUCUCCUUUGAAAUUGAUUAGCAGAUGGUAAUGUUAUUAAAUCCCUGAUGUUGUAAGAAAUAACAGUGGUUUUGUAGACUAUUAUCUAGCUUUAAAUUAUAAUUUUUAUUAUGGUUGACCUCAAAUCAGGUAAGGAUACCCGCUCAACUUAAGCAUAUCAAUAAGCGGAGGA